rnacentral:rRNA from 1 species
UACGGGGGGAGCAAGCGUUGUUCGGAAUUACUGGGCGUAAAGGGCUCGUAGGCGGCCAACUAAGUCGGAUGUGAAAUCCCCAGGCUUAACCUGGGAACUGCAUCCGAUACUGGAUGGCUUGAAUUCGGGAGAGGGAUGCAGAAUUCCAGGUGUAGCGGUGAAAUGCGUAGAUAUCUGGAGGAAUACCGGUGGCGAAGGCGGCAUCCUGGACCGACAUUGACGCUGAGGAGCGAAAGCUAGGGGAGCAAACGGG